rnacentral:misc_RNA from 1 species
GAAUUGCGAUAUGUAAUGUGAAUUGCAGAAUUCAGUGAAUCAUCGAAUCUUUGAACGCACCUUGCGCCUUUUGGUAUUCCGAAGGGCAUGCCUGUUUGAGUGUCAUUAAUAUCUCAACUUCAAAACCUUUCUGGUUUUUUGAAGCCUUGGAUGUUUGGAGGCUUUUAUGCUGGUGAAAUAACUGGCUCCUCUUAAAUACAUUAGCGGAACUUAAUGAAUCGGCUUUGGCUUGAUAAUAAAUCUAUGCUUAUCGCUGAGGAGUCUGUCUUCUGCUUCAAACUGUCCUCUGGGACUGCCUUCUGGCAUUAUUUUUAAACUUGACCUCAAAUCAGGUAGGACUACCCGCUGAACUUAA